GGGGAUGUUGCUCAAUGGUAGAGCACUUGCUUAGCAAGCACAAGACCCUGGGUCUGAUCCCCAGCAACACAA
rnacentral:tRNA from 1 species